AACGCUGGGUCCUUAACCCACUGAUCAAGGCCAGGGGUCAAACCUGCAACCUCAUGGUUCCUAGUUGGAUUUGUCAACCACUGCAACGCAACGGGAACUCCAGAACAUAAUUCUCUUACAUAAUUUAGGCAUGCACAUCAAAAGAUAUUUGAAUAAUAAAAUGUCAAUAUUUAAUGUUUUAAAACAAAAAAUAAGUCUUUGCUUAUAUUUUGAAAUAGAUAUAAACCAGUUUGACCAUAAAAUUCAUGUUCUUAGACACUCAAUAUAUUUUGUAGAUCAGUAACUUGUAGUAAGAAGAUACACUUUGAAAAGAAAACAAAAAUUAUUCUCACAAAUCAUAUUAAGGUUUAAGGGGAUUCUCUAUUUCAAAGUGAUAGAAAACAAAGUAUAAUGGCAUGACUUACUUUUAUUUAUUAGCUUUUAUUGUACUGUGACAUCAGAAAAUCUAACAUAAUAUUUUUAGGAAAUGGAAAAUAUUAGGUACGUUAAUUCAGGUAAAAGAAAGAUAUACAGAUUUUUUUAAUAAUGAAUUUUGAAUAAUUUCCUUAGUAAACUGUUCUUCAAAAUUGUCUCAAUUUACAUAUAGCAAAUAGUUCAUGAUGGAUCAUUGGUGGCAUACUGAAAACAAAUUCACUCAUCCCAGGUCACUGGACUAGAGGUAUGAUUGGCAUCAAUCAUUCUUUUUUCCCUCUCUAGCAUUGUACACCUGUUAUAAGAAGUAGAGUUCACAGAAAACCUCAUUAUACCAAUACUAUAAAAAGGAAAUUGUGCAUGCAUGUAAGAGGAAAAUCAAUGUUAGAUUGUACACAAUGAUUCUAGAUUGUGGUGCACAUAUAAGAUACGCUGGAUACUUCAAAAAAAUAGAGAUUAGUGUAAUUUGGGGCAUUGAGCAAACUCUUCAAAGUAUCGUUAUAUACAACUAUGCUUUACAAAAUGCAGGAAAGGGUUUAGAUAUCUGGGCACAUUCAAAAAGAAUAAUGGAUCUAGCACGACAAUAGAAAAGAAAUCAAAGUGAUAAACCAUGGGUAUUUAUUUUCAUAGCAUUCCAAAGUAAUUUUUUGUAAAGAUGAACAGUCCCCUUCAUCCUUAGCAAUUUCCAUAUAAUUCCAAGGACAUACAAUUCCACUAUAAAAACAUUCACACUACUAGGAAAAAAUAUUAAAAUGUUGCUCAGUUAAAAUAUAUAUACAUAUAUAUACCAAGAUGUACAUGAAAAGUGAUUUGAUAUUUAUCUUAAGGUACUCUAAUAUAAAAACUGACACACAUUACUGGGGAAUACUGAGUCAAAUAUGGGUCCCAUAAAUAUGUAGAGCAUUCUCCAUAAAUUCAUAAGGACAAGUCUUUUCCACUGUAAGCAUCAUCCCUAGAAUUAACAAACAUUUCUGGGAAUCCUGAGCUUCAGAGUCAAGAUCUUAAAACUUAUAUUACACAGAAACAAAUAUCCCCUAUAGGUGUGUGUUCCUGUAUACCAGAGGAAAUGGGAGAAAUAUGAAGAAGAGCUCCACUCCUCAUUAAAAGAAAACCUGGAAGGGAAAAUUAUACACACUCUAAUUUCAAAACUUUUAUCUCCACAAUUCCCA
ensembl:lncRNA